CGCUGGGCUCUGAACCAACUCUGGGCGAUAGGCAGAGGGAAAGUCAAACAGGCUGGGGUCGAAAUCCAGAUCAGUCCAUCAGCAAAUAAUAUCCAGUCAUGAGCCGAGGUCAGACUUACAGAGAGAUCAUCAGACAGUAUCAGAGAAAUCCAAGCUCACGGUCAAGAUCAGGCUGAUAGUCAGAACGGCAAGACAGUCCAAGCAGGCAAGCAGUGUACUGAAAGAGAAUCCAGACUCCAAAACCAGAACCAGAUCAGAUGGUCAAAACCAGGAGAGCUGUCCAAAGCCGGUGAAAGAUCUGGACUGCAGGCAGGCCAAUUCAGCACCCGGACUCUUCUACGACGAAGCCAUGCUGUUGUAAUAGCUGCAGAAUGUGGUUUUGCAUUGUCCUGCUGAAAUACACAAGGCCUUCCCUGAAAUAGACAUCAUCUGGAGGGGAGCAUAUGUUGAUCUAAAACCUUUCUAUACCUUUCAGCAUUCAUAGUGCCUUCCAAAACAUGCAAGCUGCCCAUACCGUAUGCACUUAUGCACCCCCAUACCAUCAGAGAUGCUGGCUUUUGAACUGAACGCUGAUAACACGCUGGAAGGUCUCGCUCCUCUUUAGCCCGGAGGACACGGCGUCCGUGAUUUCCAAUGAGAAUGUCAAAUUUGGACUCGUCUGACCAUAGAACACUUUUCCACUUUGAAACAGUCCAUUUUAAAUGAGCCUUGGCCUACAAGACACGACGGCGCUUCUGGACCAUGUUCACAUAUGGCUUCCUUUUCGCAUGAUAGAGAUUUAGUUGGCAUCUGCAGAUGGCGCGGCGGACUGUGUUUACCGACAGUGGUUUCUGGAAGUAUUCCUGGGCCCAUUUAGUAAUGUCAUUGACACAAUCAUGCCGACGAGGGAUGCUAUGUCGUCUGAGGACCCGAAGACCACGGGCAUCCAAUAAAGGUCUUCGGUCUUGUCCCUUACGCACAGAGAUUUCUCCAGUUUCUCUGAAUCUCUUGAUGAUGUUAUGCACUGUAGAUGAUGAGAUUUGCAAGGCCUUUGCAAUUUGACGUUGAGGAACAUUGUUUUUAAAGUAUUCCACAAUCUUUUUAUGCACUCUUUCACAGAUCUGCCCAUCUUUACUUCUGAGAGACUCUGCCUCUCUAAGACAUCCCUUUUAUAGCUAAUCAUGUUACAGACCUGAUAUCAAUUAACUUAAUUAGUUGCUAGAUGUUCUCCCAGCUAAAUCUUUUCAAAAUUUCUUGCUUUUUCAGCCAUUUGUUGCCCCUAUGCCAACUUUUUUGAGACCUAGCAGGCAUCAAAUUUGAUCAUUUAGUGGAUAAAAGUGUAAAAUUUCUCAGUUUAAACAUUUGUUAUGUUAUCUAUGUUCUAUUGUGAAUAAAAUAUUGGCUCAUGUGAUAUGAAA